ACCCGGUUAGCUCAAUUGGUUAGAGCGUUGGACUUUUACGGGUACUCCAUAAUAUCCAAAGGCUACGAGUUCGACCCUCGUACUGGGUG
rnacentral:tRNA from 1 species